GGGUCGUUAGCUCAGUUGGUAGAGCAGAAGACUUUUAAUCUUUUGGUCCCGAGUUCGAGUCUCGGACGACCCA
rnacentral:tRNA from 1 species